AGUUUGAUCCUGGCUCAGGAUGAACGCUGGCGGCGCGCCUAACACAUGCAAGUCGAACGGCACCCCUCUCCGGAGGGAAGCGAGUGGCGAACGGCUGAGUAACACGUGGAGAACCUGCCCCCUCCCCCGGGAUAGCCGCCCGAAAGGACGGGUAAUACCGGAUACCCCGGGGUGCCGCAUGGCACCCCGGCUAAAGCCCCGACGGGAGGGGAUGGCUCCGCGGCCCAUCAGGUAGACGGCGGGGUGACGGCCCACCGUGCCGACAACGGGUAGCCGGGUUGAGAGACCGACCGGCCAGAUUGGGACUGAGACACGGCCCAGACUCCUACGGGAGGCAGCAGUGGGGAAUCUUGCGCAAUGGGGGGAACCCUGACGCAGCGACGCCGCGUGCGGGACGGAGGCCUUCGGGUCGUAAACCGCUUUCAGCAGGGAAGAGUCAAGACUGUACCUGCAGAAGAAGCCCCGGCUAACUACGUGCCAGCAGCCGCGGUAAUACGUAGGGGGCGAGCGUUAUCCGGAUUCAUUGGGCGUAAAGCGCGCGUAGGCGGCCCGGCAGGCCGGGGGUCGAAGCGGGGGGCUCAACCCCCCGAAGCCCCCGGAACCUCCGCGGCUUGGGUCCGGUAGGGGAGGGUGGAACACCCGGUGUAGCGGUGGAAUGCGCAGAUAUCGGGUGGAACACCGGUGGCGAAGGCGGCCCUCUGGGCCGAGACCGACGCUGAGGCGCGAAAGCUGGGGGAGCGAACAGGAUUAGAUACCCUGGUAGUCCCAGCCGUAAACGAUGGACGCUAGGUGUGGGGGGACGAUCCCCCCGUGCCGCAGCCAACGCAUUAAGCGUCCCGCCUGGGGAGUACGGCCGCAAGGCUAAAACUCAAAGGAAUUGACGGA
rnacentral:rRNA from 1 species